rnacentral:rRNA from 1 species
CGGAGUUACAAAGGAACGAGGUAGAUGAAGAGGUCUGGAAAGGCCCGCCAUAGGAGGUAACAGCCCUGUAGUCAAAACUUCGUUCUCUCCUGAGUGGAUCCUGAGUACGGCGGAACACGUGAAAUUCCGUCGGAAUCCGGGAGGACCAUCUCCCAAGGCUAAAUACUCCCUAGUGACCGAUAGUGAACCAGUACCGUGAGGGAAAGGUGAAAAGCACCCCGGAAGGGGAGUGAAAGAGAUCCUGAAACCGUGUGCCUACAAGUAGUCAGAGCCCGUUAACGGGUGAUGGCGUGCCUUUUGUAGAAUGAACCGGCGAGUUACGAUCCCGUGCAAGGUUAAGCAGAAGAUGCGGAGCCGCAGCGAAAGCGAGUCUGAAUAGGGCGCAUGAGUACGUGGUCGUAGACCCGAAACCAGGUGAUCUACCCAUGUCCAGGGUGAAGUUCAGGUAACACUGAAUGGAGGCCCGAACCCACGCACGUUGAAAAGUGCGGGGAUGAGGUGUGGGUAGGGGUGAAAUGCCAAUCGAACCUGGAGAUAGCUGGUUCUCUCCGAAAUAGCUUUAGGGCUAGCCUCAAGGUAAGAGUCUUGGAGGUAGAGCACUGAUUGGACUAGGGGCCCCUACCGGGUUACCGAAUUCAGUCAAACUCCGAAUGCCAAUGACUUAUCCUUGGGAGUCAGACUGCGAGUGAUAAGAUCCGUAGUCGAAAGGGAAACAGCCCAGACCGCCAGCUAAGGUCCCAAAGUAUACGUUAAGUGGAAAAGGAUGUGGAGUUGC